CAACACAAUUAAGCUGAGUUGUUGAAUUCAUAGAGCACCAAGGCCUCUAUAAAUAGUUGUCAAUUCAUCCUCAAAUGCAAUACAAUUCAGAUUAACCUUCAAUUUCUAAACCACCAUUAAAACCCUCUUAAACAAGAUAAAUUUCUGAAAAAUUACCAAAACCACCACAUUAACCACCAUUGCCGCCCCUUUCUAUCGAAAAAUCACCACUGUCAACCACCCAGAUCUGCUCACUCUUCGACUCCGGUCACAGUCGAACCGCCCAACAGACUCACCUCCCCUGUUUUCCUUUCGAGCUCCACGGCGCUGCUUCUGUUGUUUGUGCCUUUGCUUUGAAAUCGGACUAGCUCAGAAGGAACGAGUUGAGGAAACGGAGUAACGAACUACAAAUUAAGGUGCCGACCGGGGCGACGCAUGCGAAUAGUGGCAAGGAUUUCGUCUUAUUAGGGUUCACCUAGUUUAAGCUUAAUUUGUACUAAGUUCAAGUAAGAAUUUUCUACUAAGUUAUGUAAGCCACUUUUGAAUUUUAAUAUAGAACAUAGUUAUAUUGGUUUAAUAAAAGUAUUAUGAGGAUAAUAGCCUUGUAAUUCCCAAGACGGAGUUAGGGCGGUAAUGUCCCGGCCGAAUUAAGGUAAUUCCGCUGCUUAAUUACUUGAAUUAGAGGUCGGGGCGUUACAGAUUAGUGGCCGAUCAACAACCUCCCCGAUUAAACCCCACAUCCAAAAAUCUAAACAAAGUCGGAUCUUUUUUUAAAGUAAUAAUUGUACAUUUAUGAAUUAAGUAAUCAUUCCUUUUUUUUGCAUUCACUUUUAUUCAAUGUAUUUUUUAUUGUAAAAGGAAUAUAUAGGCUUAUAUGAAAAGAUAUUACAUAAGUUGUAGUUGGUUAAGAUGGUAAGAAGUAUAACUUUUAACAAAGAGGUUUGGUGUUCGAUCCUUGUUAGAUGUUUUUUGGUUGUAAUGACGUGUCAUGAUGUUAAUUAGUAGUGACGUGGCGUAAUA